GAGAGAGAAGGGCACUCGUGAGCAGGGUGCCUGACGGACGCCGCUUCCGGGUUUGGCCGGAGGCUGGCGCGUGGCUGGUCCGGUGCUUCAGAGGUGAGGUGUGGCUUUCUUCUUGGCUCACAGGGUGAGACCUGCACUUCGGGACUGGGAGGGCAGGUGUGCUCCCACGGCUCUGCCCGGUGAGCACGCAGCUGCGGGUCUGCGUGGGAAAAUCCGACCCCGCCACCUUCCCGCGCACCAACCGCUGCAGCUCACAGGGAUCGCAGGAUAAAAGGGAAGCGGCUUCUCCCUGAGGGGCGCCGCAGGCGGCUGUGCGCCUCAGAGAGGACAGCACAAAGCACAGCGCGCGAGCCUGAGCACAGCAAACCCCAGCAACGGGUGGUGAACUGAGAAGCCAAUGCAGGCGGGAGCGGCGGACACAGGGGAAUCUCUGGCCCUGGCUUCUCACACCAGGAACCAACGUGUUUUCUGCCAGGAGCUGUAGACAGCCAGAGAGCACAGAAAACGCUGAGCGCCAGUAUAAAAGCCAGGAGGCACAGCAAGUUAGGUGCCCUGAGUUCUUACGCAAGGGCCGAAAAACGCAGCCCGAACCAGGCACACCAGGCUCCGAGCAAUGCACACUGCUUUCUGAGAAGCUUCUAGUAUGCAGAUCAGAGGACAAAGCCCGUCUCCACACACACCACUGCCUCGACCUUGGCAUUUGUGGGAAUGACUGCUUGGAAGAGGACAGGUUCUCAGCUCACACCUGGACAGGUGUGUCCAGAGCGUGGGGCCAACAACAUUGCACAUUGGUGACACAGAACUGGACACAGCACAUCUCCGUCACUGUCGAGCACAGGGCCGUCCCCCCGUGAGCUCUGCACUCCCACCAGGUGCUCCAAGCUGUGGCUCCCUAAGCUGAUCAAGCUGAGAAACCCGCUGCUCCCCACCCAUUCUGCCUCACUCAGACUUGUGCCAGGACCAAAACACACAAAUGUACCAGCCCGGGGACCCGCUGGGGCAUCUCCGGGAUUCUUCAGUAACUGUCAUGUAACUUUUAUUUGUGUGUAAUUGCUUCUGAAAAAAGAAA